ensembl:piRNA 21ur-2712 ncRNA
UCGAUUGUUUGCCUCUAAACC